rnacentral:rRNA from 1 species
GCUAGUAAUCGCGAAUCAGAAUGUCGCGGUGAGUACGUUCCCGGGUCUUGUACACACCGCCCGUCACACCAUGGGAGUCAGUAACGCCCGAAGUCAGUGACCCAACCAUAACCGGAGGGAGCUGCCGAAGGUGGGACCGAUAACUGGGGUGAAGUCGUAACAAGGUAAC